GCUCAGAACGAACGCUGGCGGCGCGUUUAAGCAUGCAAGUCGAACGGGAUCAUUCCUUCGGGGAUGUGAGAGUGGCGAACGGGUGAGUAACACGUAGGUGAUCUACCGCUUGGCGGGGGAUAGCCCAUGGAAACAUGGGGUAAUACCGCAUACGACCGAUCUGCUGUGGCGGGUUGGGGAAAGGCGCUUAGGCGUCACCGAGCGAUGAGCCUGCGGCUGAUUAGCUAGUUGGUAGGGUAACGGCCUACCAAGGCAACGAUCAGUAGCCGGCCUGAGAGGGUGAUCGGCCACACUGGGACUGAGAUACGGCCCAGACAACUACGGUUGGCAGCAGCUAAGAAUCUUCCGCAAUGGACGAAAGUCUGACGGAGCGACGCCGCGUGGGCGAUGAAGGCCGUGAGGUUGUAAAGCCCUUUUCUAUCGGAGGAAUAAGCCUGGGAGGGAAUGCCCGGGUGAUGACGGUACGGUAGGAAUAAGCCCCGGCCAAUUACGUGCCAGCAGCCGCGGUAACACGUAAGGGGCGAGCGUUGUUCGGAAUUAUUGGGCGUAAAGGGCACGUAGGCGGCACGGUAAGCCUGGUGUGAAAGACCGCAGCUUAACUGCGGAGACGCGCUGGGAACUGCCGAGCUUGAGUGCUGGAGGGGGAGCUGGAAUUCCAGGUGUAGGGGUGAAAUCUGUAGAUAUCUGGAAGAACACCGGUGGUGAAGACGAGCUCCUGGCCAGAUACUGACGCUGAGGUGCGAAAGCGUGGGGAGCGAACCAGGAUUAGAUACCCUGGUAGUCCACGCCGUAAACGAUGUGCACUAGGUGUCGGGUUCAUUAGCGACUCAGUGCCGUAGCUAACGCGUU
rnacentral:rRNA from 1 species